AGCGCGUUGGCAGAGUGGUUAUGCAGCGGAUUGCAAAUCCGUGUAGCUCGGUUCAAUUCCGAGACGCGCUU
rnacentral:tRNA from 1 species